rnacentral:rRNA from 1 species
UACGUAGGUGACAAGCGUUGUCCGGAUUUACUGGGCGUAAAGAGCGCGCAGGCGGUCGUUCAAGUCGAGUGUGAAAGCCCCCGGCUCAACUGGGGAGGGUCAUUCGAUACUGAUCGACUCGAAGGCAGGAGAGGGUAGUGGAAUUCCCGGUGUAGUGGUGAAAUGCGCAGAUAUUGGGAGGAACACCGGUGGCGAAGGCGGCUAUCUGGAACGGUACUGACGCUGAGACGCGAAAGCGUGGGGAGCGAACAGG